rnacentral:rRNA from 1 species
AUUGAACGCUGGCUGCAGGCUUAACACAUGCAAGUCGAGCGGGGUGAUGGUGCUUGCACUAUCACUUAGCGGCGGACGGGUGAGUAAUGCUUAGGAAUCUGCCUAUUAGUGGGGGACAACAUCUCGAAAGGGGUGCUAAUACCGCAUACGUCCUACGGGAGAAAGCAGGGGAUCACUUGUGACCUUGCGCUAAUAGAUGAGCCUAAGUCGGAUUAGCUAGUUGGUGGGGUAAAGGCCUACCAAGGCGACGCUCUGUAGCGGGUCUGAGAGGAUGAGCCGCCACACUGAGACUGAGACACGGCCCAGACUCCGACUGGAGGCAGCAGCGGGGAAUAGUGGACAAGGGGGAGAACCCUGAUCCAGCCAUGCCGCGUGUGUGAAGAAGGCCUUAUGGUUGUAAAGCACUUUAAGCGAGGAGGAGGCUCUUUUGGUUAAUACCCAAGAUGAGUGGACGUUACUCGCAGAAUAAGCACCGGCUAACUCUGUGCCAGCCGCCGCAGUAA